ensembl:lncRNA novel transcript
UACUGGGCCCAGUCCCAGGACUAUCCAAGUGUGAAGCCAACACCUUUUCACAUCAACUCCAAGUUCCAUGGGCUGACUGGACUCCACUGGGAGUUCUUGAUGUCUCUCGUGUGGUUGUGUGAGAUAGUGGCUGGGACUGGACUCAUCUGAAGGCUUGACUGGGCUGGAUGCCCAAGAUAGCCCACUUUUAGACAGAGGUGGCUGGCAGUUGAUGCUGACUGUCAGCUGGGGACUCAGCUGAGAGUGUUAACUGGAGUCCCUAGACGUGGCUUCUCCACAUGGCUUGGGCUUCUCAUGGAAGGGCACCUGGAUUCUGAGAGAGAGCAUCCCAAGAGACACAAGUGGAAAUGAUAAGGCUUCUUAUGACGUAGACUGGAGGUACUGAGACAUCACUUUUGCUACAUUAGAAGGUUAGAUGCUGACAUUUUAUGAUUUCACAACUUGGAUCCUCUGUCCUCUGAUACUGAAUCAGAUAGUAGUUUAUGGAGCUGAGCAGAGAGCCAGCUGGUCCUGGGCACAGAGGAGGCUGUGUUCCAUGCUGAAGACAAGAACAUAUGGUGGACGUACCAUCCUAACUAUCUGGGAAGGGAGCUUCGUGGCUACAUGGGAGUUAUCAUCUGCCAGUGCCGGCUGCAUCCUGGCUGUGCCCACCUCUGGACUCUGAAUCUCUGCACCUCAGUACCCCCAACCCCAACACGACUGUGAUGUUAGGCAUAUAUUAGGCAUGUGAAGAUGAGAAAGAGAAGAUACAGCUCCCAUGUUUAUCUCCAUGAGAAGAUAAGCCACAGGGAGAGAGAAAGACUGUUGUGCACGAGAGGGAGUGUCAAAUGCCAAAUGGAUGUCAGCAGUCGGGGUGUGCU